AUCCCUCUUAGAGCCUUCUGGUGGCCAGAGCUGGCUGAUGGAGAAGAGGCUUGAGUUCUGGAUUUGGCACAGCCAGCCAGCAGCUUUCUUGGGCAAGAGCUCCAGGACUUCCUACAAGAGAAACCUGGGGGAGCUGAUGAGAGAGGCUCCUCACCUACAUCCCCUGUGAAAGGCUGGACUCCGCGUGAAGACAGAAGGUGCCCAGUGCCACAGAGAUGUUGCCAGUUUCCCUCCUGCAGCCCAAGAACUGCUGGUGGAUGAUCACAGUCUGCGAGUAUGAUGGGAACAUCACUUAUCCAGGUGCUGACAGGAGAAUGGUGUUGCAGGAGGUCAAGGACUAGACAGCAAGAAGCUGGUUGUGCCCAGGAACCCUUUGCAGAGAUCUGAUUGCACCAUGAGGUGAACUGAACGGAGGCUCUGAGAAGCUCAAGUAUUGAGGACCAGCCAUGGAGAAAACACACACUAUGGAAGGCUACAGUGAAAACACACAGGGGCUUUCAGCUUAAACAUAGGGAACGUUACCAGUUGAGCUGCAUCGUUCUACAGCUACUCUUGUGUGGCUAUAGAUGGUGUGAAAAUGUACAGAGACACAGAGAAACAGGACCCUGGAGUCAUUCUGCAGAUCACAGCUGCUGACUGCUCCAGAGACUGGGACUUCUGAAGCACCUGGAUUUGUGAUGGUGUCAUAACUACCUUGUUCUGCUGUUGCUUGUGCUGAGACCCGAGUAUGUCACCAAGUAAAAGGUGAAACAAAACCCAACCACCGAACCCCAAACCAAAAAACCUCUCAGGAACAACCCCGGAGCUCUCACCGUUGAUUAAUGUCAUCAGUGCUGUGGGUCAGGCUUGUGUAGCAGCUGCUUAAACAACUGCUGUUUGAGCCACCACCUUAAGGAAGGCAAAAAGGUUAAAGAGAGCAUCUGUCAUUGAUUUUGUGGCCAUCCCAGCCCAAACCAGGACAAAUUGUAACCACUUGGGUUUCUCCUCAGAGGAAGUAGAUUAAGACCAGCCCUAAGAAGUAUUUGGGGACAGGGUUUGUCUGGUUCCUGAGGCUUCUCACAGUUCCUCAUCUGCAGCAAGAGAACUGAGCUCCUUCUGCAGUAACGCGGGUGCCAGGCAUUGUAAAAGCCAAAAAACCCAACUGAUUAGAAGAACUUCCUGCCUCGAUGGGAUUGAACAUCAAAAAAUGGACUGAACACUAAGAAAGGAAAAAAAUGUUGCCUUCUUCCAGGAUGGACAAACAGUUCCAUCCCCACUCUCCAGAUCCAGCGAGCCCAAGGUGUCCCAGCCUGGGUGGACUUGCUCCACAGCGCUGCCCGGGCUGCAGCCCAGCUCUGCUUUCAGCACAUCCAGCACGUGCCGCAUUUUGCCCUAAGGGGAUGAAGGAAGAAGAGGAUGACACCUCCAGCACCAUGACCCCCAUCUGCCCAGAAUUUGGGGCUUCACUCUGAGGAGUGUAGUACCUGUACUCUGACAGGGAAGACUUCGCAGCUGAUAUCAAGGUGCGUGGAGUGAAAGGUUUUCGGCUCCCGGUAAAGAAUUCCGAGUGCCUCUCUAGAAGAUCCCCACUGUACACUUUGGAGCUGCUUCCUUGAUGCCUCUGGGAAUGACUAGUGCUCACAAAACUGUCAGUGGAGCAACUGCACGACAGCCCAGAGCGUUUCCUUGGGGUACUUGAUGGAUUCCGGGAGGUUUUUCUGGUGUAUUUCACCGGAGUGGAGCGCAGCGAGCCCUGCUCGCCGUACGGAGACAGUGAUCCCGACAGGCACUGGGUGUGCCCAGCACAGGGGAAGAGACCAGCUUUGUCUUCUGCUUCCAAGAAACCCUACAAAAA